rnacentral:rRNA from 1 species
AUGCCCACGCCAUCGCCAUCGCCAUCUCCAUCGCCCCCUCCACCUCCUCGCAUGUCAGCGGAGGAGGAGGCCCGUCUCCUCAGGCGUGUCAUGGACGACUCCAUGUACACGCACGACGAGCGGCAAUGGGACGUCGCCUUCCCGGAGCUCCAGAUGGUGGCCGUGGAGGACGAGAGGAGGGAGGACCCGCCGGCCGCGUUCCAGCAGCUGCUGGGCCAGGGGUGGUGCUGGUCCUGCACUGCUCCGGAGAUGUCCGCCGGCGUGGGCGUGAACUGGUGCCCCACUCAGCCGCGGUCACCGGAGCGGGAGGCCUUGCCACGGGAGGAGGUGGUGCAGGCCGUCCAGCCCGCCCCCGUCCACCACGCACCUCCGGCCCAUUUGUGGACGCCGCCGGACUACGUCGACCUCGUCAGCGACGACGACGACACCGGCGGCCAGUGA